rnacentral:rRNA from 1 species
GAUUUCUGGUAGUGCGCGCCCGGGCGACGUGAGCAAUCGCGCCAGUCCCGGUGUUUCGUGCAUGCCAUCCUGUACGAUACCUUCACGUACUUAACUGUACGGGAAGUGUUCGUACUCAUUUACUUUGAAAAAAUUAGAGUGUUUAAAGCAGGUUGUUGCGCCUUGAAUACAUUAGCAUGGAAUAAUAAUUUAGGACUUCUGCCUAUUUUAUUGGUUUCUAGGUUUGGAGUAAUGAUUGAUAGGGAUAGUUGGGGGUGCUAGUAUUCAUCGGCCAGAGGUGAAAUUCUUGGAUUCGAUGAAGACUAACUAAUGCGAAAGCAUU